AACGACACCAAGACCGGAGCCGAGAUGACCACCAGUUACCGCAACCGCGCUGAUCGUUUCGGCGCGAAGUUCUGCCGCAACUUGAGGCAGGGCGCUUUCCUUCAUCUUCCCAAGGUCAGCGGGCGACUUGAUUGCGUCGAGCAAUGGGGUUGAAGAGGUCAUACCAAGGCUUCCAAUGCGACUGUGGAACAAGACAAGAACAUUUUGCAGUGUAGCAUUAUUGCAGCUAUGCAGCAGUAGUUCUGAGGAACUGCUGGUUAAAUGCCACUAUUGUGUGACUUAAGGGCAUCGUUUGAGGCAUCACUAAGUUAACGGCUUGCCUCCCCGGCAGUUGCCUUUCCCCCAAGCUGGCCGCCAGAAAUAGAAAGAAAACCUGUGCUGACAAGGACUAUUGUAUCGCUUGUUUGUG
rnacentral:misc_RNA from 1 species